rnacentral:rRNA from 1 species
GGGGAAUAUUGCGCAAUGGGCGAAAGCCUGACGCAGCCAUGCCGCGUGAAUGAUGAAGGUCUUAGGAUUGUAAAAUUCUUUCAGCAGGGACGAUAAUGACGGUACCUGCAGAAGAAGCCCCGGCUAACUUCGUGCCAGCAGCCGCGGUAAUACGAAGGGGGCUAGCGUUGCUCGGAAUUACUGGGCGUAAAGGGCGCGUAGGCGGGUCGUUUAGUUAGAGGUGAAAGCCCAGGGCUCAACCCUGGAAUUGCCUUUAAUACUGGCGGCCUUGAGUAUGGCAGAGGUGUGUGGAACUCCGAGUGUAGAGGUGAAAUUCGUAGAUAUUCGGAAGAACACCAGUGGCGAAGGCGACACACUGGGCCAUUACUGACGCUGAGGCGCGAAAGCGUGGGGAGCAAAC